GCGCGACGCACAGGCGCAGUACCGACCGUCUUUACCUAAAGAGCUCUCGGUGGGCUCUGCAGAGGGACUAGGGGAGAAGGGGUCCGCGAGGGCGCAGGCAGGUUCAGCAGGGGUAUUUGACCGGGUUGCGUGAUCACUGAGGCCUGGCCGAGGGAUUCUCCCAUAAGUGGGUCCCCGGGCGUGGGGCGGGGCUGGCGAGUCCCCUGGCCUGUCUGUAAUUACCUGGUCACCUGCUAGAGGAAUCUAAAGGCCACCUGAGCCCCGAGGUCAGGUCCGAGCUUCCCGGAGGUGGACUCCUAGCAAAGGAGGGGAAAGGACCAAAACCUCGGCUUUAUCUUACCGGCAGAGAGGGGAUGCGGCCCUGGGGGCCCCGCGUCCUUGAAGGGUGCAGCCGGUGGGGCCACACAGCUGACCAUAUCGAGCUGGGGCGGUCAGUGUAACCAGGCCACCCAGCUUCUGUCCCUUCCCCGUCUGUGUGGCUGUCACUGUGGGUAGCGCUAGGACCUCAGCGGGGCAGAAGGUCGCGGGAUGCAGGGACUCUUGAGGGAUCCCCAGCCCCACGGGGUCUCCAUUGGGGUGAUUCUGCCCCUCAAAGGUGGGCCUGCUGUCUCACCCAGUCCAAAAAUGAAAUCGUGAACAAGGAGCCAGUGAAGGGGUGCGUUUAUUGGAUGUAGAAAUGAAGGCUCACUGUAGCUGGGCGUGAGGCUCCAGAAACGCGCCACCAGGGGGCGCUCUUUGCCUAGACUCUUACAGAUAAGCAAGCCCCGCAAUUUGCUCAGCGCCAGUGAUGGCUAUCACAGGCAGGCCGACGGGUUUAAAGUAACCGGUUAGGACUUAGGUUUUCUCGAAAGAGAACCAGUUUCUCAGCAUCAUUCAAUUUCUGGAAACCCAGUGGAUGUCGGGAGAUGUUUACUUGGUACCUUCCAUCCAGCGACUGUUCAAUGAAGAAUUGAGAGACCAGCCAGUCUCAGAGUAACCAGUGAAGUGUCACACUGAUGAGUGUGAGCGUCACAGAAUUGUCUCUGUGAACACACAGUGCAGGCACACAAGCCUGCAUGCCUGCAUGAGGAGCGUGCUUCAGACCACUCUUAAGGCAGAGAAGCAGACACGUGUGACCCUGGCACAUGGGGGCUGAGGCAGGAGGAACAUGGUUGCUGGGAAUUCAAGGACACUCUGGGUUACACGGUUUUAGAAUGACACUGAUUAGCCAGACAUGAUGUCACAUGCCUGUAAUUUCAGCACUUGGGAGGCUGAGGCAGGAGGAUCAUGGAAAGUUUGAAGUCGGCCUGGACUACAUAAUGAGUUCAAUGACACCCUGGACGAUCUAGCAUGACCGUGUCUCAAAAACAAAAACAAAGGCUCCAGCUGCCCCAGGGGGAGAACCACCAGCGUCUCCUGAGAUCUGCAUCACGUUGGAACUUAGAGGGCUGGGAAACCAAGCAAGCAGCCUGCCUCCCUGUUAAGCAACAGUGAACCUACCGGUGCAUGGACUUGGGAGUCAAAUAUCCCACUUCCCCUGCCCCGCUUCAGCAAAUGGGAACCAGAGAUCUGAGCAUCUCUUGGGAGGUUGACCAUAUGCAAUAUAGCAAAUAAGGGGGAUUUCCUUCUACCAUCUUUUUGAAGGCAAAUAUUUUUUUUGCUUUAUUCUGAUUAAUGGUACUGUUCUAUUCAAUAUUCUGUUUUGAUAAAUUCUACAAUGUUCUGUACUUCAUUUUGCUAUACAUGAUUGAAAGAACAACUACUAUUGUGAAGAUAACGAGAUAUACUGUGAUACCUAUGACUGUUAUCCCAAUAACCUGCUGUGAAGUUCUGUACCAAUUUCACUACACUGUCUCAACUGGCUUUGUUCUGUCUUGUUCUGUUGUAUUUUACUACCUUCAAAAUAAUAAAUAAAAUUUUAAAAAAGCAAAAAACAAAAAUAAA